rfam:Triticum aestivum genome assembly, contig: Triticum_aestivum_CS42_TGACv1_scaffold_641621_T_2AL-0.182605_3AL-0.154495
UAAGUACUCUCUCCGUACCAAAAUUCUUGUCUUAGAUUUGUCUAAAUACGAAUGUAUCAAGUCAUGUUUUAAUAUUAUGUAUUAGGUACAUCCUUAUCUAGACAAAUUUAAGACAAGAAUUUUGAGAUGAAGGGAGUAGUUU